rnacentral:rRNA from 1 species
GCAGAGCAUCCUACGGGAGGCAGCAGUGGGGAAUAUUGCACAAUGGGCGCAAGCCUGAUGCAGCCAUGCCGCGUGUAUGAAGAAGGCCUUCGGGUUGUAAAGUACUUUCAGCAGUGAGGAAGGUGGGUAUGUUAAUAGCAUACUCAUUUGACGUUAGCUGCAGAAGAAGCACCGGCUAACUCCGUGCCAGCAGCCGCGGUAAUACGGAGGGUGCGAGCGUUAAUCGGAAUUACUGGGCGUAAAGCGCAUGCAGGUGGUUUGUUAAGUCAGAUGUGAAAGCCCGGGGCUCAACCUCGGAAUUGCAUUUGAAACUGGCAAACUAGAGUACUGUAGAGGGGGUAGAAUUUCAGGUGUAGCGGUGAAAAUGCGUAGAGAUCUGAAGGAAUACCGGUGGCGAAGGCGGCCCCCUGGACAGAUACUGACACUCAGAUGCGAAAGCGUGGGGAGCAAACAGGAUUAGAUACCCUGGUAG